AGUGCCUCUCAGUGUGUCCAGCGCAAGGUUGGAGCUCUGCAAGAAUGGAAGACGCUGGAUCUGGAAAUAAAAAGAGGAAUUGAAGGGCAACAAUGGAAAUGAGACAAAAGAAGAAGAAAUAUGUUUGUUUUACCUGUUUAGCUGCCCUAUAUUCCAUCUGCAAUUUGAGUGGGGCAUGAAGCCCCUGGAUGGUCCUGAGGGACGAGAAAUUCAUCUUGUCCUGGCUCAACUGGAACUGUUAUAAUACAAUAAAAACACAUCAUAGCAUUAAAGGAAGUGUAACAAAGAUAGCAUUUAAAGUCAUCGCUAUUAGAAGCACUAAUGAAAAAUAUAGGGAGAAGAAGGAGGUCAUCAUUUCAUGAAAAAGUAUGAAAGCUGUACCGCAUACAAAACAGGAAGGAUUGUCUCAUGAGGGAUUUGUACAAGGAUUCAAGGCUUGUGUUGCUGGCUGAAUGACUUCCAACACCUUCCAUGAAGUGGGCCGGUCUUUCGAUGACUCGAGGGCCACUCCCCCGCCCUAGUCCGCCAGUUAAGUUGAAGCACACAAAGUACUACCACAUGUGUGUUUUUGAUUUGCAGGUUGGACGCCAGACGGGUGGAGCGGCCACAGCUGCUGGCAAUGACAAUCAGCCAUCUUCAUAAGCCAGUGGACGCCACCACCCCGUCGCCCGAUCAACUAGUCUGUUUACCACGUCCUGACUUUGCGCGCCCCUAUCGGAUCCCACGCCUGCCUUUCUUCCGAGCUUCCACACCCCGCGUCGGCUCAGCUACACCAAGCAGAACAACUUACGCCCGCCACGUUAUUGUUUGUGCUCGCCAAUAAAAUAUUAUUCGCC